AAAUUGAAGAGUUUGAUCAUGGCUCAGAUUGAACGCUGGCGGCAGGCCUAACACAUGCAAGUCGAACGGUAGCACAGAGGAGCUUGCUCCUUGGGUGACGAGUGGCGGACGGGUGAGUAAUGUCUGGGAAACUGCCCGAUGGAGGGGGAUAACUACUGGAAACGGUAGCUAAUACCGCAUAACGUCGCAAGACCAAAGAGGGGGACCUUCGGGCCUCUUGCCAUCGGAUGUGCCCAGAUGGGAUUAGCUAGUAGGUGGGGUAACGGCUCACCUAGGCGACGAUCCCUAGCUGGUCUGAGAGGAUGACCAGCCACACUGGAACUGAGACACGGUCCAGACUCCUACGGGAGGCAGCAGUGGGGAAUAUUGCACAAUGGGCGCAAGCCUGAUGCAGCCAUGCCGCGUGUAUGAAGAAGGCCUUCGGGUUGUAAAGUACUUUCAGCGAGGAGGAAGG
rnacentral:rRNA from 16 species